CAGCCCCUCCUCUUCUCUCAUCGCUCCAUGCCUCCACAUGCCGCCUCCACACAUCGGCCUUCCUACACCAGCCUCCACGGCCUUCACACGCCGGGCUCCCAACGCCGGCUAAUCUUUUCAUAUUCACGGUGACCCCCCUCUCUCUUUAAUUUCUCCAUAGUUUCCUCUCUCUUUUUUAUAUUCUGCCAUUUUGGGAUUGUUUAAUAUUGAAUCAAUGCUAUUUUUUCAAUUUUUAUGUGCAAAGAAAGUUAGGGUUUUGAAAAAACCCAUGUGCUUGGUUGUUUAUUUUUUCAAUUUAUUCUCUCUUUUUUAUAUUCUGGGUUUGUUUUUUUUCUUUGUUUGCUUUCUUAGAAAAUAAAUGUUAAGGAACCGAAACCGACCGAAAAACCAACCGAAACUGAAACAAACCGAAACCGACAGUUUUUCAACUAUUUCGGUCGGUUUCGGAUGAGACUUCUACAAACCGAAAAUUUCGGUUUCGGUUGGUUAGAUAAAAAAAAACCGACCGAACCGAACCGAUUACAGCCCUAAGAAAA